AGUGAACGCUGGCGGUAGGCCUAACACAUGCAAGUCGAACGGCAGCACAGUAAGAGCUUGCUCUUACGGGGGGCGAGUGGCGGACGGGUGAGGAAUACAUCGGAAUCUACUUUUUCGUGGGGGAUAACGUAGGGAAACUUACGCUAAUACAGCAUACGACCUACGGGUGAAAGCAGGGGAUCUUCGGACCUUGCGCGAUUGAAUGAGCCGAUGUCGGAUUAGCUAGUUGGGGGGGGAAAGGCCCAGCAAGGGGAGGAUCCGUUGCUGGUGUGAGAGGAUGGUCGCCGACACGGGAGGUUGGACACGGUCCAGACUCCUACGAGAGGCAGCAGAGUGGAAUAUUGGGCAACGGGGGGGAGUCUGACACAGCGAGACCGCGCGUGUGAAGAAAGCCCCCGGGUUGUGAAGACCUCUUUUGGGGAGAGAAAAGCAUCAGGUUAUUACGCAGCGUUUCUGACGGUAACCAAAAAAGAAGCACCGGCUAACUACGUG
rnacentral:rRNA from 1 species